UACCAGCACCCCGAGUGGUCGGGACGAUUAUUGGGCCUAAAGCAGUCCGUAGCCGGUCCUACAAGUCUUCCGUUAAAUCCACCUGACUUAACAGGAUGGGCUGCGGAAGAUACUAAUAGGGCUAGGAGGCGGGAGAGGCAAGGCGGUAACUCAGUGGGUAGGGGUAAAAGUCCUCUGAUCCAUUGAAGACCACCAGGUGGCGAAGGCGGCUUGCCAGAACGCGCUCGACGGUGAGGGAUGAAAGCUGGGGGAGCAAACCGGGAUUAAGAUACCCCGGUAGUCCGACGAAGCAUCGUC
rnacentral:rRNA from 1 species